CUAUAGCUCAGUUGGUUAGAGCGCUGGUUUGUGGUUCCAGAGGUCGCCGGUUCGAUUCCGGUUAG
rnacentral:tRNA from 1 species